GAUGAACGCUGGCGGCGUGCCUAAUACAUGCAAGUCGAGCGAACGGACGAGAAGCUUGCUUCUCUGAUGUUAGCGGCGGACGGGUGAGUAACACGUGGAUAACCUACCUAUAAGACUGGGAUAACUUCGGGAAACCGGAGCUAAUACCGGAUGAUAUUUUGAACCGCAUGGUUCAAAAGUGAAAGACGGUCUUGCUGUCACUUAUAGAUGGAUCCGCGCUGCAUUAGCUAGUUGGUAAGGUAACGGCUUACCAAGGCAACGAUGCAGAGCCGACCUGAGAGGGGGAUCGGCCACACUGGAACUGAGACACGGUCCAGAGUCCUACGGGAGGCAGCAGUAGGGAAUCUUCCGCAAUGGGCGAAAGCCUGACGGAGCAACGCCGCGUGAGUGAUGAAGGUCUUCGGAUCGUAAAACUCUGUUAUUAGGGAAGAACAUAUGUGUAAGUAACUGUGCACAUCUUGACGGUACCUAAUCAGAAAGCCACGGCUAACUACGUG
rnacentral:rRNA from 1 species